rnacentral:rRNA from 1 species
UACGGGGGGGCAAGCGUUGUUCGGAAUUACUGGGCGUAAAGGGCUCGUAGGCGGCCAACUAAGUCAGACGUGAAAUCCCUCGGCUUAACCGGGGAACUGCGUCUGAUACUGGAUGGCUUGAGUUUGGGAGAGGGAUGCGGAAUUCCUGGUGUAGCGGUGAAAUGCGCAGAUAUCAGGAGGAACACCGGUGGCGAAGGCGGCCAACUGGCCCGAUACUGACGCUGAGGCGCGAAAGCGUGGGGAGCAAACAGG